rnacentral:rRNA from 1 species
AGAUUGAACGCUGGCGGCAUGCUUUACACAUGCAAGUCGAACGGUAACAGGGCCGCAAGGUGCCUGACGAGUGGCGAACGGGUGAGUAAUGUAUCGGAACGUGCCCCAGUCGUGGGGGAUAACGGCAGCCGAAAAGCUGCGCUAAUACCGCAAUACGAUCUAUGGAUGAAAGCGGGGGUACCUAAGGCCUCGACGCGUAUUGGAGCGGCCGAGUAUCAGAUUAGGUAGUUGGUGGGGUAAAGGCUCGACCAAGGCCAACGAUCGUGUAGCUGGUCCUGGAGAGGACGACCAGGCCACGACCUGGGACUGAGACACGGCCCAGACCUCCGUACGGGAGGCAGCAGUGGGAAUUUUGGACAAUGGGCGCAAGCCGUGAUCCAGCAAUCGACCGCGUGCGAGGAA